rnacentral:rRNA from 1 species
UACGAGGGGGGGCAAGCGUUGUUCGGAAUUAUUGGGCGUAAAGGGCGCGUAGGCGGUGCGGUAAGUCACCUGUGAAACCUCUAGGCUCAACCUAGAGCCUGCAGGCGAAACUGCCGUGCUUGAGGGUGGGAGAGGUGCGUGGGAAUUCCCGGUGUAGCGGUGAAAUGCGUAGAUAUCUGGAGGAACACCGGUGGCGAAGGCGGCAUCCUGGACCGGCAGUUGACGCUGAGGAGCGAAAGCCAGGGGAGCAACGGG